rnacentral:rRNA from 1 species
UACGGAGGGAGCUAGCGUUGUUCGGAAUUACUGGGCGUAAAGCGCACGUAGGCGGCUUUGUAAGUUAGAGGUGAAAGCCCGGGGCUCAACUCCGGAACUGCCUUUAAGACUGCAUCGCUUGAAUCCAGGAGAGGUGAGUGGAAUUCCGAGUGUAGAGGUAAAAUUCGUAGAUAUUCGGAAGAACACCAGCGGCGAAGGCGGCUCACUGGACUGGUAUUGACGCUGAGGUGCGAAAGCGUGGGGAGCAAACAGG